rnacentral:rRNA from 1 species
CCUACGGGAGGCAGCAGUGGGGAAUCUUGCGCAAUGGGCGAAAGCCUGACGCAGCCAUGCCGCGUGAAUGAUGAAGGUCUUAGGAUUGUAAAAUUCUUUCACCGGGGACGAUAAUGACGGUACCCGGAGAAGAAGCCCCGGCUAACUUCGUGCCAGCAGCCGCGGUAAUACGAAGGGGGCUAGCGUUGCUCGGAAUUACUGGGCGUAAAGGGAGCGUAGGCGGAUAGUUUAGUCAGAGGUGAAAGCCUAGGGCUCAACCUUGGAAUUGCCUUUGAUACUGGCUAUCUUGAGUAUGGGAGAGGUAUGCGGAACUCCGAGUGUAGAGGUGAAAUUCGUAGAUAUUCGGAAGAACACCAGUGGCGAAGGCGGCAUACUGGCCCAUUACUGACGCUGAGGCUCGAAAGCGUGGGGAGCAAACAGGAUUAGAUACCCUGGUAGUCCACGCUGUAAACGAUGAGUGCUAGUUGUCGGGCAUGCAUGCAUGUCGGUGACGCAGCUACGCAUUAAGACACCUCCGCCGUCGGGGUAGGUACGGUCGGCGAGAAUUAAAACGUUAAAACGGUAAGUUAGUACGGCGUGAGACGUGCCGACGGACGACGACGAGGGAGUUAGG